rnacentral:rRNA from 2 species
GCCUCGUGAAUUCAUCUCCGGGGGUAGAGCACUGUUUCGGCUAGGGGGCCAUCCCGGCUUACCAACCCGAUGCAAACUGCGAAUACCGGAGAAUGUUAUCACGGGAGACACACGGCGGGUGCUAACGUCCGUCGUGAAGAGGGAAACAACCCAGACCGCCAGCUAAGGUCCCAAAGUCAUGGUUAAGUGGGAAACGAUGUGGGAAGGCCCAGACAGCCAGGAUGUUGGCUUAGAAGCAGCCAUCAUUUAAAGAAAGCGUAAUAGCUCACUGGUCGAGUCGGCCUGCGCGGAAGAUGUAACGGGGCUAAACCAUG